rnacentral:sRNA from 1 species
UUCCUGCUGAUCUUAGGGCCACUCAACC